GAGUUUGAUCCUGGCUCAGAACGAACGCUGGCGGCAGGCCUAACACAUGCAAGUCGAACGCACCCUUCGGGGUGAGUGGCGCACGGGUGAGUAGCACGUGGGAACCUACCUUCCGGUACGGAAUAACCCGGGGAAACCCGGGCUAAGACCGUAUACGCCCUACGGGGGAAACUGCCGGAGGAUGGGCCCGCGCCCGAUUAGCUAGUUGGUGGGGUAACGGCCUACCAAGGCUGCGAUCGGUAGCUGGUCUGAGAGGAUGAUCAGCCACACUGGGACUGAGACACGGCCCAGACUCCUACGGGAGGCAGCAGUGGGGAAUAUUGGACAAUGGGGGCAACCCUGAUCCAGCCAUGCCGUGUGGGUGAAGAAGGCCUUAGGGUUGUAAAGCCCUUUCAGCGGGGAAGAUGAUGACGGUACCCGCAGAAGAAGCCCCGGCUAACUCCGUGCCAGCAGCCGCGGUAAUACGGAGGGGGCAAGCGUUGUUCGGAAUUACUGGGCGUAAAGGGCGCGUAGGCGGCCGGUCGCGUCAGGCGUGAAAGCCCCGGGCUCAACCUGGGAACUGCGUUUGAUACGGGCCGGCUGGAGAUCGGGAGAGGAGUGUGGAA
rnacentral:rRNA from 1 species